rnacentral:rRNA from 3 species
ACGGGUGAGUAAUAUAUCGGAACGUACCCAAGAGUGGGGGAUAACGUAGCGAAAGUUACGCUAAUACCGCAUACGAUCUAAGGAUGAAAGCAGGGGAUCGCAAGACCUUGUGCUCCUGGAGCGGCCGAUAUCUGAUUAGCUAGUUGGUGGGGUAAAGGCCCACCAAGGCAACGAUCAGUAGCUGGUCUGAGAGGACGACCAGCCACACUGGAACUGAGACACGGUCCAGACUCCUACGGGAGGCAGCAGUGGGGAAUUUUGGACAAUGGGGGCAACCCUGAUCCAGCAAUGCCGCGUGAGUGAAGAAGGCCUUCGGGUUGUAAAGCUCUUUUGUCAGGGAAGAAAAGGCUGCGGCUAAUAUCCACAGCUGCUGACGGUACCUGAAGAAUAAGCACCGGCUAACUACGUGCCAGCAGCCGCGGUAAUACGUAGGGUGCAAGCGUUAAUCGGAAUUACUGGGCGUAAAGCGUGCGCAGGCGGUUUCGUAAGUCUGUCGUGAAAUCCCCGGGCUUAACCUGGGAAUGGCGAUGGAGACUGCGAGGCUAGAGUUUGGCAGAGGGGGGUAGAAUUCCACGUGUAGCAGU